rnacentral:rRNA from 1 species
GGAUGAACGCUAGCGGGAGGCUUAACACAUGCAAGUCGAGGGGCAGCACUGAUAGCAAUAUUAGGUGGCGACCGGCGCACGGGUGAGUAACGCGUAUGCAACCUACCCUGUACAGGGGGAUAGCCCGGAGAAAUUCGGAUUAAUACCCCAUGGUUCAAUGAAUCUGCAUGGAUUUAUUGAUAAAGUUUUGGCGGUACAGGAUGGGCAUGCGUCCCAUUAGCUAGUUGGUGAGGUAACGGCUCACCAAGGCAACGAUGGGUACGGGGUCUUAAAGGAUGGUCCCGCACACUGGCACUGAGACACGGGCCAGACUCCUACGGGAGGCAGCAGUGAGGAAUAUUGGUCAAUGGGCGGAAGCCUGAACCAGCCAUCCCGCGUGCAGGAAGACAGUUCUAUGGAUUGUAAACUGCUUUUCCGGAGGAAGAAUAAUCGCGACGCGUCGCGAGAUGACGGUACUCCGGGAAUAAGCAUCGGCUAACUCCGUGCCAGCAGCCGCGGUAAUACGGAGGAUGCAAGCGUUAUCCGGAUUUAUUAGGUUUAAAGGGUGUGUAGGCGGGCGUAUAAGUCAGUGGUGAAAGUCUGUAGCUUAACUAUAGAAUUGCCAUUGAUACUGUAUGUCUUGAGUGUGGUUGAGGUAUGCGGAAUGUGUAAUGUAGCGGUGAAAUGCAUAGAUAUUACACAGAACACCGAUUGCGAAGGCAGCAUGCUAAGCCAUAACUGACGCUGAGGCACGAAAGCGUGGGGAUCAAACAGGAUUAGAUACCCUGGUAGUCCACGCUGUAAACGAUGAUUACUAGCUGUUGGCGAUACAUUGUUCAGUGNNNUAAGCGAAAGCAAUAAGUAAUCCACCUGGGGAGUACGAUCGCAAGAUUGAAACUCAAAGGAAUUGACGGGGGCCCGCACAAGCGGAGGAACAUGUGGUUUAAUUCGAUGAUACGCGAGGAACCUUACCUGGGCUUAAAUGUAGGUUGCAUGAGGUGGAAACACUUCUUUCCUUCGGGACUACUUACAAGGUGCUGCAUGGUUGUCGUCAGCUCGUGCCGUGAGGUGUCGGGUUAAGUCCCAUAACGAGCGCAACCCCUGUUGUCAGUUGCUACCAGUAAGAUGAGCACUCUGGCAAGACUGCCCGGGUUAACCGGGAGGAAGGUGGGGAUGAUGUCAAAUCAUCAUGCCCCUUAUGUCUAGGGCCACACACGUGCUACAAUGGCGAGUACAAAGAGAAGCGAAGCAGUGAUGCAGAGCAAAUCCCAUAAAACUCGUCCCAGUUCAGAUUGCAGGCUGCAACUCGCCUGCAUGAAGUCGGAGUUGCUAGUAAUCGCGAAUCAGCAUGUCGCGGUGAAUACGUUCCCGGGCCU